rnacentral:rRNA from 1 species
UACGAAGGGUGCAAGCGUUACUCGGAAUUACUGGGCGUAAGCGUGCGUAGGCGGUUCGUUAAGUCUGUCGUGAAAGCCCUGGGCUCAACCUGGGAAUUGCGAUGGAUACUGGCGAGCUAGAGUACGGUAGAGGAUGGUGGAAUUCCCGGUGUAGCGGUGAAAUGCGUAGAGAUCGGGAGGAACACCCGUGGCGAAGGCGGCCAUCUGGACCAGUACUGACGCUGAGGCACGAAAGCGUGGGGAGCAAACAGGAU